rnacentral:rRNA from 1 species
GACGAACGCUGGCGGCGUGCCUAAUACAUGCAAGUCGAACGCUGAAGGAGGAGCUUGCUUCUCUGGAUGAGUUGCGAACGGGUGAGUAACGCGUAGGUAACCUGCCUGGUAGCGGGGGAUAACUAUUGGAAACGAUAGCUAGUACCGCAUAAGAGUAGAUGUUGCAUGACAUUUGCUUAAAAGGUGCAAUUGCAUCACUACCAGAUGGACCUGCGUUGUAUUAGCUAGUUGGUGGGGUAACGGCUCACCAAGGCGACGAUACAUAGCCGACCUGAGAGGGGGAUCGGCGACACUGGGACUGAGACACGGCCCAGAAUCCUACGGGAGGCAGCAGUAGGGAAUCUUCGGCAAUGGACGGAAGUCUGACCGAGCAACGCCGCGUGAGUGAAGAAGGUUUUCGGAUCGUAAAGCUCUGUUGUAAGAGAAGAACGAGUGUGAGAGUGGAAAGUUCACACUGUGACGGUAUCUUACCAGAAAGGGACGGCUAACUACGUG